rnacentral:rRNA from 1 species
UCAGCAGUCCAAAAUAUUAGUCAAUGCUCGAAAGAGUGAACUAGCUAACUGAAAUCAAUUAUAAUAAUUGAUAACAUAAGGGAAAAAGAAUGAUAUUACCUUAUUAUUAGUGUCGUCCAAAUCUGGUGCCAGAAGACUCGGUAAGGCCAGAGACACGAACGUUAAUCGUCUUAAUCAGGCGUAAAGGGUUUGUAGGCGGCUUUAAAAUUUAUUUAUAUUAAUAUUAUAAAAUAAAAAAUAAAAGCUAGAAUCAAAAAGAGGAUAUAUUAAAGAAUGCUUAGAGUAGGUCUGAUAUCCUUAGAUACUAAGUAGAAUAUUAAAGGCGAAAGCUUUUUUCCAUUAAUGAUUGACGCUCAGAAACGAAGGUGAGGAUAGGAAAUAGGAUUAGAUACCCAAAAUACCCCUCUCUGUCAACGAUGAAUGGUAAUUAUUAGUAAAAAUUUUAUUAAUGAUAAUGUUAACACGAUAACCAUUCCGCCUUGUGAGUACAACUGCAAAGUUGAAAACAAAAAAAUUAGUCGGUUUCGGAGCAAACGAAGUGAAGCAUGUUAUUUAAUUCGAUAAUCCGCAAAGCUGAAA